rnacentral:snRNA from 1 species
AGCUUUGCGCAGUGGCAGUAUCGUAGCCAAUGAGGUUUAUCCGAGGCGCGAUUAUUGCUAAUAAGAGGACAUCCUGAUACAAGUCAUAACAUAGCCUGAACCAGAGAGCCACUCUGGUGUGACCUUGACUUAGAUGAGCUAAUUGAUGGCCAACUUGUAUGU